AGUGAACGCUGGCGGUAGGCCUAACACAUGCAAGUCGGACGGCAGCACAGUAAGAGCUUGCUCUUACGGGUGGCGAGUGGCGGACGGGUGAGGAAUACAUCGGAAUCUACUUUUUCGUGGGGGAUAACGUAGGGAAACUUACGCUAAUACCGCAUACGACCUACGGGUGAAAGCAGGGGAUCUUCGGACCUUGCGCGAUUGAAUGAGCCGAUGUCGGAUUAGCUAGUUGGCGGGGUAAAGGCCCACCAAGGCGACGAUCCGUAGCUGGUCUGAGAGGAUGAUCAGCCACACUGGAACUGAGACACGGUCCAGACUCCUACGGGAGGCAGCAGUGGGGAAUAUUGGACAACGGGCGCAAGCCUGAUCCAGCCAUACCGCGUGGGUGAAGAAGGCCUUCGGGUUGUAAAGCCCUUUUGUUGGGAAAGAAAAGCAGCAGGUUAAUACCCCGCUGUUCUGACGGUACCCAAAGAAUAAGCACCGGCUAACUUCGUG
rnacentral:rRNA from 1 species